rnacentral:misc_RNA from 1 species
AACUUUUGCCAACGGAUCUCUUGGCUCUCGCAUCGAUGAAGAACGCAGCGAAAUGCGAUAAGUAAUGUGAAUUGCAGAAUUCAGUGAAUCAUCGAAUCUUUGAACGCACCUUGCACUCCUUGGUAUUCCGAGGAGUAUGCCUGUUUGAGUGUCAUUAAUAUAUCAACCUCUCAAGCUUUUGCUUGUGGAGUGUAUGGAUGUGGGGGAAUUAUUUUGCUGGCCUUUUAAUGAGGUCGGCUCCCCUGAAAUGCAUUGGCAGAAUGAUUUUGCUGACCGUCUAUUGGUGUGAUAACUAUCUACGCUGUUGACGUGAAGCAAGUUCAGCUUAUAAUGGUCCAUUGACUUGGACAACAUAUUUAUUAAUGUGACCUCAAAUCAGGUAGGACUACCCGCUGAACUUAAGCAUAUCAAUAAGCGGAGGCU